ensembl:lncRNA
CCCCCAUGAAAGUCUUCUCUCAGUGAGAGGGUAGGAACAUCUCAAUACCUUGCAGGUGGCCAAGAGUAUGUUUCUCUGAUCCAAAUGUUCUAAGAGUCAUGCAUUUCCUUUUAAUUGCCAUUAGCUAUCCCCAAAAGUAUAUUUCCUAUGUAGUUAUUACACACCAAAUCUCUUUCAUAAUGCGAAGUAAUUUCUGAUAUCCCCAAAAAGCAAAAAACAUCAGAUAACACAUGUAAAAUAGAACAGAGCCUUAGAUUUUGAGAGAGAUCUAUCCACUUUCACUUUCUAAGGUUUCAUGAGGAAAACAGAUGUUUUUCCCAAAACAGGGUCUAUGGCACCUCCUCUGUUUUUUUCCAAGGAGUUCCAGGCUGUUAGAACUUGAAUAGCUGCUUUUAAUUAAGCUGACUUUUAACCACAGGGCUCUCUUAUUAAAAUUUUUUUUAAAAAAACACGUUAUUUUAGGUUUCUUGUUACCCAAUUUUAGCCAGACAAAAAGGCAAAUAUUUCUGGCUUUUAAAUUUUACUAAAAGUAACCACCUAGGUGCUCAGAGAAAGGAAAAUUCAAGAUGAUUCGUGGAUGAGAAGCGAAUUAACAAAUGGUGGAGAUCACAACAGAUAUCAACCAGAAAGGACUCAUUCCCUAAGUCAGGAACUGAACUCCGAACCCAGGCCACCACUGUGAAAAGAUAAGAAAGGCAAAAGACAGAAAGGGAGAAAAACAUUCUCAGGGAGGCCAGAGAAAGGCCCACCCAUUGCAGCAACAGUGUAAAGUUCAGGUGGCUGCUCAUAGGGGAUCUUUUCCUGCAGUGUCAUCAGUUCUCAGGUUUCCCCUUUUGGAAAGAAAAAAGCUCCCCAUACCAUAUGUUCCUGUACAUGCCUCAUCCUAUCACCCACAGCCAUCAGCAAAGAGUGCAAGGCAGAUUAAUCCAAAAAAUAUUGGUUAACAUCCCCUAAGUUGGGCCUCUAACCCAAUCCCAUCUUCUACCCAGGUAAAUGCACCCCACUUACCCAAAGUUGGCCAAUUGGGGCAUGCAGACAACUUUCCUUUGGGUCAGGGGUCUCUUGAGUACCGUCCCUUCACGUCACGGGAAAGAAGUUGCUGGAAAGGGAUUCCAAUCCAGACCCCAAGAGAAGGUUCUUGGAUCUGGCACAAGGAAGAAUUCCGGGAAAGGGGUCCCAAUCCAGACCCCAAGAGAGGGUUCUUGGAUCUUAUGCAAGAAAGAAUUAAGGGUGAGUCUGCAGUACAAAGUAAAAGCAACUUUAUUUAAAAAGUAAAGUGAUGAAAGGACAGCUACUCUAUACACAGAGUAGGAUGCUCCCGAAAGUAAGAGGAGGAAGGCAUGCACCCUAAAUACAAUGUUUACAUAUAUGGGUAGAUGUGCGUUUGUGAUACGAGGGUUUGUGAUAAAGGAUUACUUGUCUUAAUAACUAUAUUUUGCAAGAAUCAGUAUUAUUAUCUUUAAGGCAAAAUUAGGAAUGCCUUUGUUGUCCAGAUAUUGGGAUAUCUGGACACUCUCAAGUCUGGGUCUCUUUAGUAAACAUUAUUAAUUUGUUCCAUUAACCAUAAACAUCUAGAGGCUAGGAAUGCCGCACUUUUUGAGAAUGCAGCCCAGCAAGUCUGUCUCAUUUUCCUAGCCCUCAUUCAAGAUGGAGUCACUCUGGUACAAACACCUCUAACAAUCUCACUAUCUUAUUUGCUUAUGUAUUUGCAGCAGACACUAGACCAGAAGCUCCUAGCAACAAGAGCUGGUAUCUUUCUAAUUUUCUGUUCUAAGUAUUGACACCAGUAUCUGACACAUAGUCAGCACUUGAUAAACGUUUUCCAAUAAAUAACCAAAUGGUAAGAGUUAGCGAAGCAAAGCAUCCAGCCAUCUAAUAUCCCAGAAAUAUAUUUUUUCAUUUUCUAAAGAGAAAAUGUAUAGUUUAGAAGACAGGAGAAGUUAUCGUUUCUUAUUGCCAAAAUGAUCAGGAGUUUAUAAAAAUGCCCGUAGAAUUUAUGACUUAUACAGUGCAAGGCAGGGACAUUGAUUACCAG